GUGAGGAAAAACAAAAGGAAAAAAAAAAAAAAAUUAAAUCUCACCCUCGUUAACCGUGAACCCCAUCGCCCCCCCAAAAUCCAUCUUCUCAUUCGUAAUGCGAAUAAACGCCUGCCGCCACCGUUAGCCUCCUUCCGCUAGCGUUCAACUGGUUGUCCAAUGUCGUCUCCUUCAAUCAGACUAGCACCACAAGUCGCCAUCUGUCACUCCGCCUUCAGGCAGCUGCACUGCCAGGUCUAUUCACACCGCUCUAAUGGGUUUCAUGUUGUUGUUCACCUCUUGUCGCUAGAGCUCUGCCGCGACUCACGCCACGUUGUCCCUUCACCGUCGUCAGCCCAGCGUUGCCGCAUGCCAUCAGCUUCAUCGACAACCUCCUUUACUUGUCGGAAUUCAUCAAAAUUUGCCUUUUGGGAGGUUGAUUUGGAGCUUUUGGAAGAGAUUAGAGAUUGUCAGUGGUGUUAAAGGUUCGAUUUUAGAGAUUUUGGUAAGGACAGAAACAGACCAGCGAGUGACAAGAGGGACUUGUGAUUGUGCCAUAUGGGACUAAGAAAUCGCUUCUGCUAAAUUUAUGUUUUUAAGAGUUUUGAUGUGAAACUCGAUGAUUGGUUAAAAAAAAAAAUUAUCUGUGUGUUAUUUCUUUAGUUGUUUCAGGG